UUUCCGUAGGUGAACCUGCGGAAGGAUCAUUAUUGUAUAACCGAGGUGCGAGGGCUGUCGCUGACCCGAAAGGUCGUGCACGCCCGAGUGCCCUCACACACAUCCAUCUCACCCCUAUGUGCACCACCGCGUGGGUCCCCCUUUGGCUUGUUCGGAGGGGGGCUUACGUUUUCACACAAACUUUGUAUGCAGUGUAGAAUGUAUUUUUGUUUUUGCGAUCACGCAAUCAAUACAACUUUCAACAACGGAUCUCUUGGCUCUU
rnacentral:misc_RNA from 1 species